CCUACGGGUGGCAGCAGUGGGGAAUAUUGGACAAUGGGCGAAAGCCUGAUCCAGCCAUGCCGCGUCUGUGAAGAAGGCCUUCGGGUUGUAAAGCACUUUCAGUGGGGAAGAAAGCCUUGGGGCUAAUACCCUCGAGGAAGGACAUCACCCACAGAAGAAGCACCGGCUAACUCCGUGCCAGCAGCCGCGGUAAUACGGAGGGUGCGAGCGUUAAUCGGAAUUACUGGGCGUAAAGCGCGCGUAGGCGGUCUGAUAAGCCGGUUGUGAAAGCCCCGGGCUCAACCUGGGAACGGCAUCCGGAACUGUCAGGCUAGAGUGCAGGAGAGGAAGGUAGAAUUCCCGGUGUAGCGGUGAAAUGCGUAGAGAUCGGGAGGAAUACCAGUGGCGAAGGCGGCCUUCUGGACUGACACUGACGCUGAGGUGCGAAAGCGUGGGUAGCAAACAGGAUUAGAUACCCCGGUAGUC
rnacentral:rRNA from 1 species